GACAGUCGUCUAUUCUGUUCGGACGAUAUUGAACUCUAUAACAUUUACUAUUUCAUACACUUCCGCUAUUAUAAUCGUAUAUUGCCUGGGCAAUGUGUGUGAAGCCGACCUAUUUUGAAGUUUUUUUUUCUAUAGAUAGACUUAUAUUAUAGUAGAGAAAAUCAGUUCUGUGGUGGCGUAGCUAUGAAAAUAUGUUUAUAAGACCAGGGGUCAAUAUACUGUGCCAAUGGUGCCCAUUGUGCGUAAGAUAAGUCUGCGCGUGACAAUAUCAGAAACUAUCAACAAUACAUAGGCCACAACGUUGUCUGCAGCGACAGUAGCGCCGCGACUGGACUACUUUCGUGCCGCGAACUCUAUGUUCUCAGAAUUUUUCGACCGCUGCGGCCGCACUGUCAUUAUUAUCCGUCAAAUUUCUUGAGGAAGGAAUAAUUUCCAAAAUCAAUCAUGCCUGAAAGCCUCGUUACAGUAUCGAUAUUGUGUUCAUCUACCACGCCACAUGCACAACGCCAAAAGAUGUACCUAAAAAGCGGACCAAACGCAACGGAUAACAAGCCACACAAGUGAUCCACGGCUCUACGGACAGAUGGCGCUACGGUCGACCCACUACAGAAGCUGACAAGCCUAGACCGCGCAGACAGUGCGUUUUCGAUUGGAAGCAUAUAUAUAACCUCCGACAUGACACCAUGGGAACCGUCCGGUUCCCCGGCGCUGCACCUAGCCUUGCGGGAAGAUCUUCCGUUUGUGGCGGUCGAGCAUGAUCACCUCGCUCCCGCUACCGCUAGUAAAUAAGAGUUUUUAUUAUGA